GUUUCUGACCUAUCAGCUUUCGACGGUAUGGUAUUGGCUUACCGUGGCAGUGACGGUUAACGGGGGAUUAGGGUUCGAUUCCGGAGAGGGAGCCUGAGAAACGGCUACCACAUCUAAGGAAGGCAGCAGGCGCGCAAAUUACCCAAUUCUAACAGCAUAAGAGAGGUAGUGACAAGAAAUAACAAUACAAGGUAAUUAAAUUGCUUUGUAAUUGGAAUGAUAGAAAUUUAAACACUUUUUAAAGUAUCAAUUGGAGGGCAAGUCUGGUGCCAGCAGCCGCGGUAAUUCCAGCUCCAAUAGCGUAUAUUAAAAUUGUUGCAGUUAAAAAGCUCGUAGUUGAAUUUCUGUUAAAAAUAACCGGUCUGCUUUUAUUAAAAGUGGUAUCUUGGUGUGUUUUUAGCAAUAAUGUCCUUUGAAAUGUUUUUUACUUUAUUGUAAUAAGUCAUUAUUUUGAGGAUUUUUACUUUGAGAAAAUUAGAGUGUUUCUAGCAGGCUUACGCUUUUGAAUACUGCAGCAUGGAAUAAUAAGAUAGGAUUUUAGUUCUACAUUAUUGGUUUUAAGAACUAAAUUAAUGAUUGAUAGGGAUAGUUGGGGGCAUUUGUAUUUAACUGUCAGAGGUGAAAUUCUUAGAUU
rnacentral:rRNA from 1 species